UUUGAUUUGGCAGAAAAAUGCCUUUGGUUUAGGACCAACUUAUAACUAGUUAUAGUUAAUCAGUA
rnacentral:tRNA from 1 species